GCAAUGGUGCACGGCCGGCUUUAAUUUUUUUUUUUUUACGCUGUUCCCCAGCUGUCUUUCCCUCGUUAGCCGCCCCACACUCGCACGUGGGUCUCCACCUGGUGUCCCAGUCGCCUCGAGCAGCCCGCCUCUGCGCUCACCAGGAGAGUCCCCCCCACAACCCCCCGGCGCGCACAGGCCCCACCCUCUUCGCCUGGAGGCUCCGUCUUGCUUGGCAGACCAAGGUGGCGCGUGAAGCCUCACGGGAGUUGUAGUUUUUCCCCUUUCCCCAGCUCGGAACGCCGGUUGCAAUCCCUUGGAAAAGCACCUCCCCAAGGCUGGUUGUUCCCUGAUGCCCCGUCCCUUUGCUUCUUAAUUGUGCUGCGCCGUGGUAGUUCCCUGCAUUAAGGUAAACAAGGAAUGUCGAGAGGAACAACGUGUACCUGUUUGGUGCUUGACAGUUUACGAGUCGUUUUCUGUCAUUUCAUCUAUCCUGUGAGCGAGGUGAUUGGCCUAUAGGUUGCAGCUAAAACUGUCCAGCAUUGGUUGUUUCACACUCGAGAGGCAGAGGAUCCUGUAAUUGCUCAGUUCACACAACUGAAUGUCUCAGCAGCCCCAGGAUAGCACCGAAGGCCUCGAGGGUUCCUGGAGAAUGGCUUGUCUUCGGUAUACAAUGGAAGUUUCUCCUGAUACUAGUGAAGGAAUGUACCAGCUACAGGAUAGAUGAACUUCCCAGCUUACAAGUCAGCUGGGAUGAGGAUACCAAGAGAACUGCCUAAUGGAAGGAAUCUGUUUGCUUCUAACUUAUGCCAUGAACAACCUCAGCACACAGAUCAAAGCCCAUGGGAACUUGUACUGCCCUAAAGCCAUCUGCAGAACAGAAUUGGUGAGAGAUAUCUAAGAGACAUUUACUGUACUCCUUUAAAAGGCCAUAUUAUCAAAUCCCUUUGGGCAAUGUUCUCUGUUCCAUCUGACUUUGGGAUUCAAGCUGCAGAGAGAAAAAUCUCUGAAACUCUGAAAAUGCUGUCUCUUUCACCUACCCAAGUUUGGAAACUUGGUUGUUGAUAGAAACUUCCGUUGAGAUAAAACCUAUUCUCAUCACUCACAACACACUUGGGAAAUGCUGGAACAAAGCAGGUCUCAGCGGUGGUCCUGACUCUGCCGAAGUUUGCAGUUUGGCUUUUCUUUGAACUUCCAUUCCCUCAUCUGCAAAACAAGAGAAUUAGAAUCAAUGAUUGAGGGGAAAUGAUUAUGCUUUAUACAUACCUGCUCCAGGCAACACAUGGUUAUGCCACCAGACCGUAAGAGCCCUAUACUUUAUUUGUGCACUAGUUUAUCUGCUUUAUCUGUGUGGGGGGUGUUAUUUUAGUAUAUGCAUGUAGAUGCCAGAGAUCAGCAUCAGGAGUUUGCCUCUAUGGGUCUCUCCCUUCUUUCUGCCAACUUUUUAGGGACAGGGUCUCUCACUGAGCCUAAGGCUUAUUGAUUCAGCUGUUGGGAUCUGCCUGGCUUUGGCCUCAGAAUUACAGGUACACACUGCCUCACACAGCAUAUGGGUCUGGAAAUCUGAACUCAGCUCCUCACGCUUAUGCAGCAAGCACUUGCCCCUUUCUU